AAAGAAUACGGUGUACUACUUUAAAAAAAAAAAGAACAUUAGCAAAAUCUCAGGUUUUCACUUUUGCACUCAUCUCUCGCCUCUCAAGCUUCCCUCAAACGCCAUUCUAGGUUCUUCAAUGAGAGUGAGUAAUCUCCGGCGAUUGAAGGUCCUGCCGCUAUAAAUUAAAUAGGUUUUGUCAGGGCUCAACUUCAAUUAAGGUUUCAGCAAUCUCCGGUUAUUGAAAUCAUACCAAAGCUAAAAAAAAUUGAAGCUUUGCCCAAUUUCAAAAUUGAAGGUCGAAUUCCUGCGGCUUCUUGAUCAAUACAAGUAAUAAUUUUCGUGUUUGUUUCCGUUUUCACUGAAGAAUUUUCAUUAAUCUCUACAAUUCUACCACUAUGGUUUUUCAUUAGGGGUUCUUUGUUAGGUUUUUUAGUCGAAUAUAAUUUCCUUGAUUUUGAGUUUGUCAGGAAAAUUCUUUGUAGAAUUUGCUUGAAUUCGGGUCUUUAUGAAUUUGCUUGAGUUUGGGUAAUUGGGGAUUUUUAUGGCUUGAAUAUGAAUUUGCUUGAGUUUGGGUAAUUGGGUAUGUUUAUAGUGUUGCUGCUGGGUUGUUAGGGUUCUUCUUAGUCAAAUCUUGAACAAGUUUGCUCACUCAAUUUGGGUUUUCUGUUAAGCCUUUUACUCGCCAGGAAAACACUAUCAUUCAGACUUGUGUUGUUGCUUAUUAUGGCCUUUCCUUCAGUGGUUAAGUUCUUCCCUUUACACUUUUUCUAUUCUUGUAGUUUUUUAUUAUUUGAUUUUAUAUUUAGUUUUAUUAGUUAGUUUUUUGGUUAAUUUAGUUGUUGCUACUUUUGUUCUUGAUUUGAUUUUGAGCACUAAUGUUGAUGGGGCGAGUUAGUUAACUACUUUUGUUUGCAUUAUUGGGUUAUAUGGUGAUGGUGUUGAUGAUGAUGGGUUAGUUGCCAACAAUUACGAACUUUGAUGUUGAAUUUAGAUUGACAGGCAGAUUGAUUACGUACUAUAACCCAUGUUGUUCAAUGUACGACUAUUAACACUAGGGCUAAAAAUGGGGUUAUUGUAAAUCUACGUGAAAUCCAGCUGAAUGGUAGGUAGAGAAAUAAACAGCUGAAUGGUAGUCUAGUAGACCCAAAGACGAGUCCCUCCACCAAUUUCCCAUUUCUCAAGUAGCGAAGGGAAACAUUGAAAUUUGUUUUUGUUUGUGGGCUAGGAGUAAGGUGUAGGAUUUUGUAGGGGGCACCAGGGUAGGGCAAGGGCUUGGUUGAGGUUUUUGUAGGGGGGAGGGCAAGGGAUUGGUUAAGUGUCUAUCAUUUCUUUUUUUCUGCUUUUGAGGCUGUAGACAUUGAAGACGUAUUUUUGUAAUCCUCAUGUUCGAUGUUAGAAAACCAGUUGUCCAGAUUAUUCUCGUCAUAAGUGCUGCUGCUUUUCCCAGUAGUAUCAGGCAUGUUUACAACUAACGUUGUCAGCUCUCUAAUUUUCUUGAAUUAUGAAGGUGCGUCAUCUGCAUUGCUUACACCAUCAUUUUACAAAACUGCUUCUUUUUCUUGUUUUCCUCAUUUGUUUCCUGUUCACACCGGCUUGGAAAAUGAGGUUCUGAAACCAUCAUUUGACCAACAACAUUGUACCCAAAUCUAGAUGGUUUAAACCUUUGAUUUUUCCGGCCACCACUCCUCUUUUAGAUUCUAUUAACAUAAUAGAAAGUCUAUAACCAUCUGACAGCAUCCUUUUCUAGUGUGCUUAAAGUUGUAGCAGUAGAUGCAAAUAUCUCAUUUUUAAUUUCAACCACAAAAACAUAGGUAACCCACUCUUAACUGAAAGAUGCAAAAGUGCUUUAACUGCUGAUGCCUCGUGUUUUUCAUUCUCAGCCACUUCUGUAGGGCAAGGGCAUGGUGGAGAGGAAAGUUUGGAAGUGACUUAUUUCAGAGAUACACUUUUGUUAGUGCUGCUAAAUAGAAAAAAGGUGAGGAAGAAGAUGGAAGCGAGCACCUCGCAACGCUUGAACCAGUGGCAGUUAGAGAAGAAUAACAAGAAGGGGUGAGCGUCGUUGUUUAGCGCAAGAGUGAAAAGAAGUGCACAAAACAGUAAGAAUUGAAGAUCCGAGAACUGGAUCAAACACACCACAGGGAACUUAUCUUUUCCCAAGUCUGAGUAUAUAUUGACCGAGAAGAAUGGUGGGGUGACGCCUCCCGCUGAUGUAAUAUGGCUUGCUCAACACACAACACCAGAUGGUGAAGGAGUUUUGCGGUGGGUUAAUGAUGGUCGCUCUAAGGAUGUACAUAUAACUUAGCGAGCUAGAGGCAAAUAAGAAAGACAUGGAUGCCUAUAAAGAAGAGCAAAAACGCACUAAGGAAUAUAUGGAGAGGUGAUUCAUGCAAAUGUUAAGCAACAUGAACAGGAAUCACGAAUGAUGGAAUGGAUAAUGAGGACUACAAGUUGCAUAUCUUUUAUUUAAUUCAGGAACCACUUUUUGUCAAACAAGAGGACCUACUGGAAUAGUAUUGGCUAAUUUUGGAAAUCUUAAAUAUGCAUAUAUUUUGCGGAAAGUCAUGUUUAUUUUAAUAAAUAUGAUCAUAGUUUUAUGGAAUUUCGGUGGAUUUUUGUAAGUAACAUACAUUAAACUGGUGUAUGCAGGGCUAUUAUUUGGCUACUUUUUAAUUAAGUUUGUAUUGUGACUUUGAAUUUAAAAUUGUGAACAGAUUACACAUUGUGUAUGAUUUUGCAAUGCUACAGGGCUACAAGCAACUAAAAAUAUUGAUGUGGUAUUGUAGAAUGA